UAGGAAAGGCCACUUUACUUUGCUGAGACUGCAAAGUGGAUUCUGAGAAAAAAAAAAAAUCCACCCACUGCGAUCUGUGCUGCUUAACUUUCAUACACAACAUAAUGGAGAGGAUGGAUGGAUUUACGCGGAAUUUCACCUCAUCCCGCAAUCGUCCAAACUAACACCGCAGCACUGAUCAGCAACUGGAGCAUUAAUGCCAGGAUUCUGGAGGAGUGCACUUUUUAUUCAAUGUUUAAUUCAGUGUGUGUGUGAGUGUGUUUGUGAGAGAGUGUGUGUGAGUACAUGCACGCACGUGCACUUUGUUAUUCAUAAUUACCUUCUCAAAUGAACCACGUUUGCUUCUUUUACACAGGUAAUCAUGUUUAGUUAGAUUAUGUAUGUCAGGUUUCUGUUCCUGUUUUCUGUUUUUUCCUUUUGGGCCACCAGAUGGCGGUAGUUCUGCUCCUUUUCCCUGGAUAAUUGUAUUAUUGGUUCCAAUUAUUCUAUUAUUGCUUUUCAGUUGUGUCUAGUUAUCCCUUCCCUCUGUGGUCUGAUUGUGAAUUGUGCCCUCCUGUGUCUCGUUAGUGUCUUGUCUAUUUAAGUUCUUUUCUUCCCUGACUUCGGGUGCUGGUUCCUUGUGUUUCUGCUUGUGUUUUCGCGUGUGUGUUUCCACAUGUUUUUUCUGCCUCUGUAUUUCCACCCGUGAGUUCCUGCCCCGCCCGAGGUCUGUUUUGCUGUUUUCUUUUUUUGAAGAACUUUUGAGUUUUUGGGAUUUGCCCUGUGUGGCAUUUUUCAGUUCCCUGCAUUUGUUCAUGAGUUUUUGUUAUUAAAAUCUUUGUGUGAAUUUUC